rnacentral:rRNA from 1 species
AUUGAACGCUGGCGGCGGGCCUAACACAUGCAAGUCGAGCGGAUGAGAGGAGCUUGCUCCUCGAUUCAGCGGCGGACGGGUGAGUAAUGCCUAGGAAUCUGCCUAGUAGUGGGGGACAACGUUUCGAAAGGAACGCUAAUACCGCAUACGUCCUACGGGAGAAAGUGGGGGAUCUUCGGACCUCACGCUAGUAGAUGAGCCUAGGUCGGAUUAGCUAGUUGGUAGGGUAAAGGCCUACCAAGGCGACGAUCCGUAACUGGUCUGAGAGGAUGAUCAGUCACACUGGAACUGAGACACGGUCCAGACUCCUACGGGAGGCAGCAGUGGGGAAUAUUGGACAAUGGGCGAAAGCCUGAUCCAGCCAUGCCGCGUGUGUGAAGAAGGCCUUCGGGUCGUAGAGCACUUUAAGUUGGGAGGAAGGGCUCAUAGCGAAUACCUGUGAGUUUUGACGUUACCAACAGAAUAAGCACCGGCUAACUUCGUGCCAGCCGCCGCGGUAAGAC